UACAGAGGUGGCAAGCGUUGUUCGGAAUUACUGGGCGUAAAGGGCGCGUAGGCGGUCGUGACAAGUCACUUGUGAAAUCUCCGGGCUUAACUCGGAACGGUCAAGUGAUACUGUCGUGCUAGAGUACAGAAGGGGCAACUGGAAUUCUCGGUGUAGCGGUGAAAUGCGUAGAUAUCGAGAGGAACACCUGCGGCGAAGGCGGGUUGCUGGGCUGAUACUGACGCUGAGGCGCGAAAGCUAGGGGGAGCGAACGGG
rnacentral:rRNA from 1 species